rnacentral:rRNA from 1 species
UACGAAGGGGGCUAGCGUUGCUCGGAAUCACUGGGCGUAAAGCGCACGUAGGCGGCUUUCUAAGUCAGGGGUGAAAUCCUGGAGCUCAACUCCAGAACUGCCUUUGAUACUGGAAAGCUUGAGUUCGGGAGAGGUGAGUGGAACUGCGAGUGUAGAGGUGAAAUUCGUAGAUAUUCGCAAGAACACCAGUGGCGAAGGCGGCUCACUGGGCUCCACCUGACGCUGAGGCGCGAAAGCGUGGGGAGCGAACCGG